GCGCCCUUAGCUCAGUUGGAUAGAGCACGAGCCUUCUAAGCUCGGGGUCGCAGGUUCGAAUCCUGUAGGGCGCGCCA
rnacentral:tRNA from 1 species